GCCGAUCCCUACACCGGUUUAAAAAAAGAGAAAAAAUAUUCCAACCUGUUACCGUAGUUUUAGUGAUUUUGAUAAGUGUUUUUGUUUAGUAUUGUCCUUUUGGUAUUGUUUGAUUGUUGUGCAUGUAUUGGGACCCUGAAGAAAAUAAUAAUAAUAGAGAAAUUUAGUAAAAUUAAAAUUUUAUAUAUGACGUUUGAGAUUAAUUUUUUGUGUAAGUUAAGCCCCCAUUUAUGAAUUUCUGAAUAUGCCGCUGGCUAGACUUGUGGGUUUGAUGGGUUUUGGUAUUGUUUCAUUGUUGUGCAUGUAUCAGACUUGUUGGUUUCAUGGGUUUUUGGACUUUCGGUAUGAUAAUUGUAACAUGGAUUGUUAGAGCCGGAGCUAAAAGGAAUUAUCGCUAAUUUUGAGCUAUUUGAAAUUUAAUGUAAACGCCCUCUUGCUUAGGGUCCGAACCUGUGCAAAACAGUUUAGGAGGAGACUAGGAGCAGGGUGUGUACACAUCUUUGAAUAUACUUGGUUUAGUUCGUUUUUAUAGGAAAGUUUUGUUUGGCUGAAGUUUUACUUACUCGGUUUUGUUAAAUGGGCACUAAUACUCUCUAAUGUGGCGUUUUGCCUUGUCUUUUUGUGGAAUUUGUUCUAGACAAGGGUCAUUCUUAUUUAACUACCUCUCUAUAACUUCAAGGAGAUCGUGUAUACUAGACUCUAGUGUUGAAUAUGCAAAAAGUGUGUGUGUGUGUGUGUACGCAUCUCAUGUGCUGCGGCGGGUAUAUUUGGUUUUGUUUGAUUUUGUGAGUUAUUCCUCCUUUCCACUAUUAUAGUGUUUCAGUUGGGACAUUUGUGUUAAGUUAUUUGAAUCAUAUAACGGUUAAAUAGCCCUACACUAAAAAAAAAAAUAGCCAACAAGGUGUUGGUGCGGUGGUUGAGGUCUCGUACCCCCUUGCAGGAGUUCAGGAGUUUGACUCCCCGGUGUGCGUGUGUAGUCAAUUAGCAAAAAAAAAGGUUAUUUGAAUCAUUUUGUAAGGUGUAAUCUACUAUAUAUGGAGCUUUGUUGGAUGUAUUUGGUGUUUUUCUUUAAAACUUCACAGUGCUUGCUGCUCUAUAUAUAACUGUUUUUUUCUUUUGCUAUCUUUGUUAAAGAAUUUCAAGAAACUCAGUCUAGAGAGGUGGGAAUACGCCAAUGAAGGCUUUCAGAAAGGAAAAGAUCAUCUGUUAAAGAAUAUUAAGAGGAAGAAACACCAACCUGAUCAACAAGUCCCACAGGAUGGAAAGAAUUCACAACUUUCACUUUAUCACGAGAAUCUUAAAAAGGAAGCAGAACUUGAAAAGUUGAAGAGCGAUACCGAGAAGUUGAGAACUGAACUUCUAAUUAUCCAAAAGGAACAGGAGAGUGCUGAUAAUUAUCUGUUAUCUGUUAAAGAGAGGCUAAUAAGAACCGAACACAAGCAACAGCAGAUGUUCAUUUGCAUGGCAAGAGCAUUUAAGAACCCGCUAUUCAACGAGAUUCUCAUGCAGCAGCUCAGGGAAAAAGAAGCACUGGAUACUGCAGGAACUUCAAAGAAACAAAAGCUGAUUGCUCCCCAGUGCAACAAAAGUCUAGUUGAGGCAAUCUAUUAUGCUGGGGGAAGCCAAGCUAAAGAUGACUUCACAAUGAUUGAUACAGAAGCUCAGAAAGCAUAUUUUCAUAAUGAAGCAAAAAACCCCGUUGUUCAGAGCCAAAAGGUUAAUGAAGUGUUGGCUACAAAACCUUCAGAUAUUGCUUUGGACAAUUGUUUGCUGGUAGAAAAUCUAUUGGCUGAUGACGUGGUCUCUGAGACUAAAGCAGCAACAGAACAAGCAAAUGUUCAUUCAAAAGUUGUUCUUGAGUUGGAAGAAUUGAUCACAAAGGUAAGUGCCAAUUGGGAGGUAUCUAUGAAGGAGAUGGUUGAGCAAGCGGUUUGUCUGCAAUCACAGUUCUAGUUGGUAAGAUCUUUAAUUCUCACCGUAAGUAAACAAUUAAGUAUCUAUAAUUCCUCCAAAAUUGUGUAUGUGAUACUAAAGCAUAAGUAACUUUUUAAGAUGGAUUAGAAUUUAAAAAUAUUUCAGUCUUCAAGCUUGUUGAUCGCGUCCUAUCUGCCCUUUUUCUCGAUACUUUGUCAAAUGGGAACAACUAAUGUUGAGCAAGUCAUAUGCAGAAAAGUGAAAAACAAGAAGAGGCCUGGAUAAAUCCCAACAUAGAUUCUUAUUAGUUUGUUUGCAUAUACUACAACUUGCAUGACAAUUAGAAGUUAUCAAGAUCAUCUGACAUGUCUUAAUUCAUUGAGACUCCUACAAGAAUUCUCAGUUGAUUCCCAUAAUCAAGUAAAAAUGUAUAAUGAGCGGUUUCCUUGGGAGAGGGAGGGGUAUUUGUGAUGCAAACUAAUCUGAUAAAUCUUUCCUGUCAUUCAUGUGCAGGACAUUGGAGAACUAUCGCAUACAAAGAUCUUAAGAUAGUUUUAUAAUUGUUCUUAGAAGAAAUCACAACUCCCAACAACCCCAGGUUUGAGCUUUAUGCUAUUUCGGCCCUUUUGCCUUCCUGGAGGUUUCGCAUUAUGUAGUAGUUAGAAUAUAGUGUGGUUAUGUACAUAAACUUUGUAAUUUUCUUUUGUGAUUCUCAGUUUUCUAAAGUGUUUUUUAAGGUUCCUUUUGUUCUUUUAUCAUAAAGACCGUUCUCUGGUAGUUAUAAAAUCAUAAUACUUUCAAAUAUUACGACAUUUGCUCUUCAGGAUCAUUGCUUAUUUUCAGCUCCUUGCUAAUAACGCUUUUUAUUACACAUUCAAUGCAACUUUUGAAUCCUAAACUGAAGCUGCCCGCUUGUUAUAUACGCUCACAGAAACCUCAGGCGAUGUAUCCUCCAUUCCUCCAUUUUACGCGCAGACCUGUCUGAGAGGUUGCACGUUUGCCACUGCAGUUGUUGCAAGUCUGCAUAACCUCCCACCCAUGUAUAAACUCUAGACAGGCAAUAUAGCUGUCCUGCAUCUACUAAUUCCACUAUAAUGCAACUCAAUUUAAGAAAGAUGUGAUUAUAAAUAAAUCUCACACUAUAUUAAUGCAGGUAUCAACUGACAACAUUUGUGAUUUAAACUGAAGAGUACAAAGGCUUCUUCCUCCUUAUCAAGAAACAAUAGGCAUUUGGAAGCCAAAAUACAAUCUGUUUAAAUCUUUGAGUAGCAAGAGAAACAGGAACAUCUUUCAAACUAUAGAAAGGCAUACCAUCAAUCUUUCUUGUGACUUCCAGGUGAGCAAACUUUUUCUAGCCCUUUGCCAAGAGGUCCAAGACAGUCAUAAAUAUCGCUUUUCUUCUUGGGUGAGACAUCACUUCUCUUGUCGGGUGACAAUACAGGGCCACCAGAUUCUUUCUUAUGGUGAAUCGUAUCGAUAAGGGCCUCAAACUCUUCCUUUGCACGCUCAAACACGUUAGGACCUUUGAAAUCAUCAAUGGGUGUGUUGGCAUCAAAAUCAUCACUCCUCCCAUGAGUUUCCCUACGGUGCUUAUGUGGAGACUUCAUUCGCUCAGCUCCUUCUUUGUGUUCCUUUCUUACUUCUACUUUUGGUGGCGUCACAUUGUUCUUGCCACCACUUGCAAGGCCACUGGAUUCUUUCUUAGGGUGAAUCGUAUCAAUAAAGGCCUCAAACUCUUCCUUUGCUCGCUCAAAUACGUUGGGACCUUUGAAAUCACCAAUGGGCGUGUUCUCAUCAAAAUCAUCGCUCAUCCCAUGAGUUUCCCUAUGGUGCUUAUAUGGAGACUUCUUUCUGUCCUUUACUUCUCUUUGUUCCCUUGACCCCACACUGUCCUUGCCUGCAGUUAUGCAAUAUGAUUAAUUCAACACACUAUCUAAGCAUGUCAAAGAUAUUUGGAUAGAGAUCAAGAUACAUUAACCAACAACAUAAAAACUACUUUGAAAUUUUUUUAAUUGCAAUAACUAACAGUAAUUAAGAAGUUGAUCCUCCAACGGUGAUAUCUAGUUACACCUGCAAUAGAAAAUAGAUGAUAAAAUUUAUAAUCUUUAGGUGCUUGCCUGAUUGUGUUCUUGAUCAUUCCUCGCCACCAGUGGUGGAGCGAGGAAUUCAACAACCAAAUUCCUAACUCAAAACUGGCUGGACAAAUUUUUCUUUAAACAAAAUAUAUUAAAAAACAAAGUAAAGCAGAAGGAUCUUCCUCAAAUUCAUUAUUAUUAAUUAAAAAGUAAAAAAAAAGUAUGAUUAAUUAUAAUAAAAACAACAAAAUAUGAUAAUGAAAAGAUAAAGCAUACAUUUAUUUAGUCCAAUAAAAUAAAUUGAUAUACAAUAAUAUUAGAAGAAAAUAGUGCAAGUAUGACAUAAAAAAAAUGACAAUUAAAAUCAAUAUAUAACACCAAGUUCUAUGCAUAAAAUGUCCCCUGCCUCUAGGGUGGUCCCACCCUGCUUGAGACCUUGCAUAGUUCUAUCAGUUUUUGAAGAAAGACAGGAAUGUGGCGAUGGACUUGCCCUAAUUGAGGUUUCUAACAUGCAAUUCUCAAGAAAAAAAAAAAAAAAAGAAACAAGUUCUUAUAAAGCUUGGAUUUGAAGCAUUAUGAAAGAAACACAAUGCGCUAAGUUUCUACAAAAACCACUCCCAAUAUUUAUGCUGAAAACAUUAAAUUUCGUCAAAUCAUAUAUAGCCAUAUGCUGCAUUUAUUCUCAGAAUCAUAUACAUCACCAUAAAAAAUCGAAGGAUUUCUCCAGAAACCUGGGAAAGAGNNNNNNNNNNNNNNNNNNNNNNNNNNNNNNNNNNNNNNNNNNNNNNNNNNNNNNNNNNNNNNNNNNNNNNNNNNNNNNNNNNNNNNNNNNNNNNNNNNNNNNNNNNNNNNNNNNNNNNNNNNNNNNNNNNNNNNNNNNNNNNNNNNNNNNNNNNNNNNNNNNNNNNNNNNNNNNNNNNNNNNNNNNNNNNNNNNNNNNNNNNNNNNNNNNNNNNNNNNNNNNNNNNNNNNNNNNNNNNNNNNNNNNNNNNNNNNNNNNNNNNNNCUUUCCAAGACCCACAAGUUCAAUAAAAGCACCCAAUAUUAAUUUGAGUCUCUCAUGACCUCUGUAAUGGAUGGAUUUACAGGACUUGAUCAAAAUAGUUUGUGCAGUGAGAGUGAGCUUGAAGCUCUUUUUGCAGCAGCAAGUGAUGAGAACAUAGCCCAUGAAGUGAGUUUAAAGAAAGAGGCUAUAGUUGUGGUGGAUGAUGAAGAGGUGCCACAGCCUUUGAAGGGUUUGUAUGAAGAUGGGCCCACUCCAUUUAUCAAGAAAAUAUAUGGGAUGGUGGGAGAUGCAGAGACUGAUGGGAUCAUCUCAUGGAGUGAGUCUGGGAUGAGUUUUGUGAUCAGGGAUCAGUACAAGUUCUGUGUGGAGAUUCUGCCCAAGCACUUCAAGCACGCCAACUUUAGUAGCUUUAUUCGCCAACUCAACACUUAUGUCAGUAUCUUUUUUUCUUUUCUCGUGAUUCUUGUUUACAAUAUUCCAACCUGUUGCCCCGCGGGGUGUCAUAUAGUUGAACAGUGGCGUUUAAGGCUGGCUGUCUUGAGGUCACGAGUUCGAUUUCCUGGACACUCCGGGAGUAUGUGGGCUACAUGCUCGAAGCACGAGUGGUCGAGUGUGCUAGUAUGUCCACCUGGAUUAGUCGAGGUGCACGGAAGCCGAUCCCUACACCGGUUUAAAAAAAGAGAAAAAAUAUUCCAACCUGUUACCGUAGUUUUAGUGAUUUUGAUAAGUGUUUUUGUUUAGUAUUGUCCUUUUGGUAUUGUUUGAUUGUUGUGCAUGUAUUGGGACCCUGAAGAAAAUAAUAAUAAUAGAGAAAUUUAGUAAAAUUAAAAUUUUAUAUAUGACGUUUGAGAUUAAUUUUUUGUGUAAGUUAAGCCCCCAUUUAUGAAUUUCUGAAUAUGCCGCUGGCUAGACUUGUGGGUUUGAUGGGUUUUGGUAUUGUUUCAUUGUUGUGCAUGUAUCAGACUUGUUGGUUUCAUGGGUUUUUGGACUUUCGGUAUGAUAAUUGUAACAUGGAUUGUUAGAGCCGGAGCUAAAAGGAAUUAUCGCUAAUUUUGAGCUAUUUGAAAUUUAAUGUAAACGCCCUCUUGCUUAGGGUCCGAACCUGUGCAAAACAGUUUAGGAGGAGACUAGGAGCAGGGUGUGUACACAUCUUUGAAUAUACUUGGUUUAGUUCGUUUUUAUAGGAAAGUUUUGUUUGGCUGAAGUUUUACUUACUCGGUUUUGUUAAAUGGGCACUAAUACUCUCUAAUGUGGCGUUUUGCCUUGUCUUUUUGUGGAAUUUGUUCUAGACAAGGGUCAUUCUUAUUUAACUACCUCUCUAUAACUUCAAGGAGAUCGUGUAUACUAGACUCUAGUGUUGAAUAUGCAAAAAGUGUGUGUGUGUGUGUGUACGCAUCUCAUGUGCUGCGGCGGGUAUAUUUGGUUUUGUUUGAUUUUGUGAGUUAUUCCUCCUUUCCACUAUUAUAGUGUUUCAGUUGGGACAUUUGUGUUAAGUUAUUUGAAUCAUAUAACGGUUAAAUAGCCCUACACUAAAAAAAAAAAUAGCCAACAAGGUGUUGGUGCGGUGGUUGAGGUCUCGUACCCCCUUGCAGGAGUUCAGGAGUUUGACUCCCCGGUGUGCGUGUGUAGUCAAUUAGCAAAAAAAAAGGUUAUUUGAAUCAUUUUGUAAGGUGUAAUCUACUAUAUAUGGAGCUUUGUUGGAUGUAUUUGGUGUUUUUCUUUAAAACUUCACAGUGCUUGCUGCUCUAUAUAUAACUGUUUUUUUCUUUUGCUAUCUUUGUUAAAGAAUUUCAAGAAACUCAGUCUAGAGAGGUGGGAAUACGCCAAUGAAGGCUUUCAGAAAGGAAAAGAUCAUCUGUUAAAGAAUAUUAAGAGGAAGAAACACCAACCUGAUCAACAAGUCCCACAGGAUGGAAAGAAUUCACAACUUUCACUUUAUCACGAGAAUCUUAAAAAGGAAGCAGAACUUGAAAAGUUGAAGAGCGAUACCGAGAAGUUGAGAACUGAACUUCUAAUUAUCCAAAAGGAACAGGAGAG
rnacentral:lncRNA from 1 species